CAGAGGGUGCGAGCGUUGUCCGGAAUUACUGGGCGUAAAGAGCUCGUAGGUGGUUUGUCGCGUUGUUCGUGAAAACUCACAGCUUAACUGUGGGCGUGCGAGCGAUACGGGCAGACUAGAGUACUGCAGGGGAGACUGGAAUUCCUGGUGUAGCGGUGGAAUGCGCAGAUAUCAGGAGGAACACCGGUGGCGAAGGCGGGUCUCUGGGCAGUAACUGACGCUGAGGAGCGAAAGCGUGGGGAGCGAACCGG
rnacentral:rRNA from 1 species